GGUAAUUAGUGAGGGGGGGGCUUAAUGAGUGGGGGAGGGUGGUAAUUGGGGCGGGGAGUGUCACUAGGCCCCGGUUAGUGGAGGAGACCUUUAAUUAGUGAGGGAGGCUCUUAAUUAGUGGGAGGUAGGCUUAAUUAGUGGAGGAGGCCAUUCGCUGGAGGGGAGACUGUUAAUUAGUGGGGGAAGGCCUUAAUUAGCGGGAGAGGCCCUUAAUUGCUGAAAGCCCGUCUGACAUGCCGCUGGUUAAUUAAUGAGGCAAUGAGUUAAUGAACGACUUAAUUACGGUGUUAAUUGCACUAAUUGCAGUCCGGUUCCCUUGGAGUCAUCACGGUGGGGCUUCCCCCCACUAAUUACGCCCUUAACGAGCUAAUUAACGAGUUUAUUAGUGGCCUAAUUAGGCCAUUAAUUGCCCUAAUUGCACUAAUUGCCGGCUGGGAACUCCCCACGGAUUCCCCCAGGGUCUUCCCAGCGGGGCCUCCACCCACUAAUAACACGAAUUAAUUAACGGACGACUUAAUUAGCGGCCUCAUGAGGGCAUUAAUUGCGCUAAUUGCCGUCUGCCCCGCGGGGGGGCGAGAAAUCACCGCGAGCUCACGGCUCCAUUCAUCCCUUAACAAAUCCCUCCAUCAACGCCUUCAUUAAUCCCUCAGCGACUUCAUUAACGACCUAAUAACGAAGGCGUUAAUUAGGGCGCUAAUUAGCCGCAUGACGGUGGGGCGGGCGCGAGAACCCCCUCAGUAUCCUCACCCCCCCACACACACACACAGACACACAGCGGGCAAUGAACGAGGGCCCCCUAACGAGGCGGCUCGUUAACGAGGGCGCUAAUUAACGGCCGUUCGUUAAUUGCAGGCUGGCGCGGGUGGGCGGCGUGGGCCCGGUGCUGGGCCCCUACGCGGAGUCGCAGUGGUCGCUGUGCAGCUUCGCGCUGCCCGAGGGGCCGGCGCAGUGCGCCUUCGGCAGAGCCCCACACUGCCCCACAUCCGUCGUGGGUGAGUCUGCCCCAUAGCUGCCCCAUAGCUGCCCCAUAGCGCUGCCCCAUGGCUGCCCCAUAGCGCUG
rnacentral:lncRNA from 1 species